UAGAAUCAUUCGUUCUUUUUCCCCAAAUUUCUAUCUUCUCUAAUUUCUCUUCAAAUGCAUCUAUGGAUGAUUGAAGCAUGGUUAUGGAGUAUUCUUCACAUGGUAUCAGAGUAGGAGGCCCCUUCAAUGAAGAGGUCUCUAGUGAUUGGUGAGGCAAAAGAUGGGUUAUAUUUUUUGUGUUCUAAAUGCUUGAUGAAAUCCAAUCAUUCCGGUGAUGCAUGUACCUCUUCAACCUCUUCUCCUAGUUUCAUAUCAAGUCUUCCAAUUUCAAUUAUGUUUCUUGUCCUAUUUCUUCAUGCAAACAUAGUACAUGUAAUCACAAUUUCAAAUCUGUUUCUUGUCCUAUUUCUUCAUGCACACAUAGUAAAUGUAAUCAACAUUGUAUACUAUUCAAUAAAAGCCCUUGUAUUUCUGCUUC